rnacentral:rRNA from 1 species
AGAUUGAACGCUGGCGGCAGGCCUAACACAUGCAAGUCGAGCGGCAGCACGGGUACUUGUACCUGGUGGCGAGCGGCGGACGGGUGAGUAAUGCCUAGGAAUCUGCCUGAUAGUGGGGGAUAACGUUCGGAAACGGACGCUAAAUACCGCAUACGUCCUACGGGAGAAAGUGGGGGAUCUUCGGACCUCACGCUAUCAGAUGAGCCUAGGUCGGAUUAGCUAGUUGGUAGGGUAAAGGCCUACCAAGGCUACGAUCCGUAACUGGUCUGAGAGGAUGAUCAGUCACACUGGAACUGAGACACGGUCCAGACUCCUACGGGCGGCAGCAGUGGGAAUAUGGACAAUGGCGAAAGCCUGAUCAGCCAUGCCGCGUGUGUGAAGAGGUCUUCGGAUUGUAAAGCUACGUUUAAGUUGGAGGAAGGCAAGUUAACCUAAUACGUUAGUGUUUGACGUUACGACAGAAUAAGCACCGCUAACUCGUGUCGCCAACAGCCG